rnacentral:rRNA from 1 species
AUUGAACGCUGGCGGCAUGCCUAACACAUGCAAGUCGAACGGCAGCGCGGACUUCGGUCUGGCGGCGAGUGGCGGACGGGUGAGGAAUGCAUCGGAAUCUGCCCGGUUGUGGGGGAUAACGUAGGGAAACUUACGCUAAUACCGCAUACGACCUGAGGGUGAAAGUGGGGGACCGCAAGGCCUCACGCGAUCGGAGGAGCCGAUGUCGGAUUAGCUAGUUGGCGGGGUAAAGGCCCACCAAGGCGACGAUCCAUAGCUGGUCUGAGAGGAUGAUCAGCCACACUGGAACUGAGACACGGUCCAGACUCCUACGGGAGGCAGCAGUGGGGAAUAUUGGACAAUGGGCGCAAGCCUGAUCCAGCAAUGCCGCGUGUGUGAAGAAGGCCUC